GGGGAAUUAAUGGUAUUUUCUGAUGACGUAAAUGUUUUCGUGAGGAAAAAAUAUUCACUGGUGAAAUAUGACCUCGAAUUAAGAAGAAAAACAUGACUUUACUUUUUGAAAAGUUUUUGACGUGCUGAAUAUGAAUCUAAUUGCAAAAUUGCUUCAGCACGUCACGUUAUCGAGAAAUUCGUCCCUUAACAGUUUUUCUUCUUAAUUCGAGGUCAUAUUUCACCAGUGAAUAUUUUUUCCUCACGAAAACAUUUACGUAAUCAGAAAAUACCAUUAAUU